UUAUUAGGAUUAUUUUAAUUAAAAAUGUUUUUGUCGUAUUUGGAAACAUAUGUACCUAAGUCAGUCAGUUUUGCAUUAAAUAUAAUUUGAUGAUAUUGAAUUUAUGGUAAAAUUAUGGAAAUAAGUAGUUACCUUUACUAAAUGAUUUUAUUUUUUUAAAUAAUUUAUGAAAUUUAAUUCGGGCAAAAGAGGUAACAUUAUUAGCGUGCACAAGGGCAUGGGCCGGCCUCUGCUAUGACCAAGUCUCCGCAAAGAGCGAUGGCCUCGAUCUCCACAGCUGCUCCCAACGGUAGUCGACUGACUUCGUAUGUCAUUCGAGCAGGGCAAGCUUUAGGAAAAUCUGUGAAGGAAAUUAACUGUUUUAUUUGGCAUCCGGUUUCACAGAUAUGUUCGUUAGCUUUCGGUUCGUUUUGCCAGGUUGAAACAAUUCUUUUCUCCAAGCGUCUGUCUGAAUUGAGAUAAAGUUUAUUAUACGCCACAAUUUUAACCAUACAUAAUUUUUUUAUUGUCAUAAUUGCGGUAUGACCAAAAAUGUUUUCAAAAAUGUGUUCAUUUUGGUCGCUGCUUUAUUAGUUUCAGAAACUAAGAUAAUUAAGUAUAUAUCAAGAAUUAAAAGAAGCUAAUAAUAAUUAAUAGUAUUGAACAGAAUCAUAAUAGAUUCUGUUUAUUACUAUUUGAUGUUACAUAUAUUUGAUAUAUUUUAUGUUGAUUCAUGAUUGAUAUUAUUUCUUACAUUUAUUAGAUACCGUGAUAAAAAAAAUCGUGAACCCUCUCUAAUGCACUUUUCGAUCAAUUUUAUCAGUUGAUGAGAAUAGAACCUUUCGAUUUUAUCUGUUUAUAAAAUCUCUUUUUCCCAGUUUAGAUCUCAAAUUGCAUAAUUUCAGUGAAAUCAAGACCAAACUAAAAUUACAGAAUUUUCUUUUAAAAAAAAAUCCUACUGCCACAAAUAUUUUGCGGUUUUUUUAUUAUGUUUAUGACGACGAACGAACUUAAAGUCUAUUUGGUAGCGUAUAAAAAUUAUUUUCCAUUGGGAUUCCCAGUUUUUUUUUUCAUAAGUGCCAUUUGAGCAACACUAAACAAACUUGCUAUUUUUAAUAUACAUACCUAAGUUAGUACAAUCGUCAUCACUCUAAUGAGUAUAUGUAAAUUAAGUAGGUGAUUCAUGUUAAACGGUUUUUCAGGAGUUUGCAAAUUACUUAAGUAAGUAUGUACUAACAUUCUGCAUAGACUUUGUUGAAAGUUUGGAAGUCGUCCAUGCUAGCCAACAAAACAGUAGUUUUCACGACCGACUCCAACGAAGCGCCACCAGCUUCAAGUACAUGUCGCAGAUUGUCCAGAGCCUGACGGGUCUGCGCUUCAGCACCACCGCAGACCAUCUGUGCAUCUCGAUCCAAUCCGAGAAUUCCAGAAAUGUAUAAGGUCUUGUCCGCUAAAAUUGCUUGACUAAAAUUAAAUAGACGAUACAAUACAACAUCCUUUAACCCAUAAUCCAAGUUUAGGUAUCAUUUUUAAAAUUAUUGGCGUAGAAAACAUAACACAAUAAGUAUUGAUUAACAUUAUUAAUGUACUUCCCGAUUUCUCGGAGGUUGAAAUUCAAACUGAGGAACUUUGUGUAUUACCUAUUGUAUAAACACGUCAUUACGGAUCCUCCCGAUCCAUUAACGGUGCUUUUAGGUAGCUACCUCAAGCACCGAUCACCGUCCUCGCCGAACCCGUCGCUUGCGACGAAGGGCUCGACGAGUAUAUCAAUACCAAUAGACACAGCCCACCGAGUUUCUCGCCGGAUCUUCUCAGUGGGUAACAAAUGUAAUUUUUGGCUAAAGUUCACACAAAUCAAUAAUAUUUUUAGUAAACUAACCUGUACGGACCUACUGGUUGAUAUAUUUCCGGAGAUGUUAUUAUUGUUUUUGUUACUUUAUUGUUAUUCGAAUUUUUUGCUGAACUCAUUUUGGGCGAAACUUUGUCUUCGGACGCCAGUGCAGAAUCUUCUGAGCUCAUUUUUAUUCUUUAGAUGUAAAUAGGUCAAUAGUUCAAAUGACAAAAAGAUAACA